rnacentral:lncRNA from 1 species
CAACCAUAGGUUGACCUCAGUAGCUUAUCCAUAGAGCAACGACGAAGUUGAGAUGAUGAGCAGGACCUUACUACAAGGGCUAAAAGCUCGUUUGGGACAGGCCAAGAGAUUAUGGGUUGAAGAACUAUAUCAUGUGCUCUGGGCAUAUCACACAACUCAGUGACUUCCAACAAGAAAAAUCUCUUUAAGCUGGCUUUCAAAACUGAAGCUAUCAUACCACCUG